AUUGGAGAUUCCAACAAAAUUUUGUACCCUCAUGAAAAGGAUGGAGGUAACCCAAGACCAAAUGCAAUGAUGCAAGAGUUUCGGAAUUGUUUGGAAGAAUGUGGUUUACAAGAUUUGGGAAAUAUUGGCGACUGGUUCACAUGGAGGAUAGGGGAGGUUAGGGAAGGACUUGAUAGGGUUGUAUGUAAUGUGGAAUGGUCAAAUAAAUUCCCAAAAGCAGCCAUUAUCAAUGAGGAACAUGUGCAUUCAGAUCACCGUCCCUUAAUCCUUGACACAAAAUAUUUUGAUGAGAAUAUUUUUAAUUGCGCAAAAGGCCGUGUGAAGCAAUUUGAGGCUAGAUGGCUCAAAGAAGAGACUGUUGGAGAAAUUAUACACACAACAUGGGAAAAGGCUAAAUUACUGGGUGUUGGCCCGUCUCUCGCUGCUCGUACAUGGGCGGUGCAGGCUAACCUACACACUUGGGACCGAGAGAUUCUAAAAGGAUCAAAGCAAAGAAUUAAUAAAAUAAAAAAUGAGUUGGAGAAAUUGAGGCGGGACCUAUGA
rnacentral:rRNA from 1 species